CCCUUAGAUGUCCUGGGCCGCACGCGCGCUACACUGACAUGUUUAACAAGCCUCCUAGUUCGACAGGAUUUGGGAAAUCUUUGAACGCAUGUCGUGAUAGGGAUAGAUCAUUGCAAUUAUUGAUCUUGAACGAGGAAUUCCUAGUAAACGCGAGUCAUUAGCUCGCAUUGAUUACGUCCCUGCCCUUUGUACACACCGCCCGUCGCACCUACCGAUUGAAUGUUUCGGUGAAGAUUCCGGAUAGGACUUUUUUGAUUUAUUUCAAUUCUGUCUUAAAAGCUAUCUAAACCUCAACAUUUAGAGGAAGGUGAAGUCGUAACA
rnacentral:rRNA from 1 species